rnacentral:lncRNA from 1 species
UAUUUAUUAUAAUUUCACAGGAAAAAAAAAACUUCAGCAGUAAGCGCCCCAACGACACCUCGUUGAGAAACUUUCAAUCUGCUGUCAUGUAUCAACUUUGUCUCUAUUCAAAAGUUAUAAUUCUUCUUUCCACGAUUCUUUCUUUUUUUUUAAAUUUUUAAUAUGAAAAAAUAUCUAACAAAUUUUUGGAUGAAAACAAAACUAUUAAAAAAUAUCUUAA